CGCGAUUGGAAUUGUUAGCAUCCCGAGUGCACUUCUUGCUGGAAAGAUUGGAGACAUGGUAAAACAUCGCGUUAGGUUGACAAUAAUAUGUCUCUUCUUACAUGGUAUUAAUACAUUGUUGAGUUACUUAUAUAAAACUUACAUCACUAUGUUUAUAUACUCAAUGGAAUGUUCUUUGGUGCUUAUAACGCCAUAUUAUGUGUCGCCAUAUUGGAUUGUGUUGGAGCAGAAAAUAUAGCACAAGCCUUUGGAUUUCUGAUUGCCUUUCAAGGAUCAUUUCUAUCUCUUGGGCCACCUAUAGCAGGUAAUAAUAAUCGAUCAAUUGUUUCUGCCAUAGGAAGCAAGUAAGCAGUCAGCCUAAUUUAUACAGCGGGCUUAUAUAUUUUGUACAUUUUCUUUACCGCAGUUGCAACUUCUGGCACAGAGUCAUGUUAUCCCGCAUUUCACUCCGCCGACCGUUUCCUCAUGUGCCAUACCGUAGAAUAAGAAUGAAAAUAUGAGAAAAGUAAAAGCAGUACUGCAAGUCAUAUGGGCUGACUCAUGGUGUCUGUUAACACAUUUUCACCUAACAUCACCCUAUGUCCG